UACGUAGGGUCCGAGCGUUGUCCGGAAUUAUUGGGCGUAAAGGGCUCGUAGGCGGUCUGUUGCGUCGGGAGUGAAAACUUACAGCUUAACUGUGAGCGUGCUUUCGAUACGGGCAGACUUGAGGCAUUGAGGGGAGAACGGAAUUCCUGGUGUAGCGGUGAAAUGCGCAGAUAUCAGGAGGAACACCGGUGGCGAAGGCGGUUCUCUGGCAAUGUUCUGACGCUGAGGAGCGAAAGUGUGGGGAGCGAACAGG
rnacentral:rRNA from 1 species